rnacentral:rRNA from 1 species
UCGGGAAUAUUGGGCAAUGGAGGGAACUCUGACCCAGCCAUGCCGCGUGCAGGAUGAAGGCGUUAUGCGUUGUAAACUGCUUUUAUAUAGGAAGAAAUAGUCCUUGCGAGGAAAGUUGACGGUACUAUAUGAAUAAGCACCGGCUAACUCCGUGCCAGCAGCCGCGGUAAUACGGAGGGUGCAAGCGUUGUCCGGAUUUAUUGGGUUUAAAGGGUGCGUAGGCGGUUUAUUAAGUCAGUGGUGAAAGACGGUCGCUCAACGAUUGCAGUGCCAUUGAUACUGGUAGACUUGAGUAUGAUUGAGGUAGCUGGAAUGGAUAGUGUAGCGGUGAAAUGCAUAGAUAUUAUCCAGAACACCAAUUGCGUAGGCAAGUUACUAAGUCAUAACUGACGCUGAGGCACGAAAGUGUGGGUAUCAAACAGGAUUAGAUACCCACGUAGUCCCUGAGCGGGCUGGCAAGGCGCAU